UACGGGGGGGGCAAGCGUUGUUCGGAAUUACUGGGCGUAAAGGGUUCGUAGGUGGCUCGCUAAGUCAGACGUGAAAUCCCUCAGCUUAACUGGGGAACUGCGUCUGAGACUGGCGAGCUCGAGUGCAGGAGAGGAACGCGGAAUUCCAGGUGUAGCGGUGAAAUGCGUAGAUAUCUGGAGGAACACCGGUGGCGAAGGCGGCCUUCUGGACAGUGACUGACGCUGAGACACGAAAGCGUGGGGAGCAAACAGG
rnacentral:rRNA from 1 species